GGAGGUGGUGGACCAGGUUCUACACACAGUCAGCAAGUCCAACAGUCUGGAGGAGCUCACUCUGGAGAACGCAGGACUCAAAUCGGAUUUUCCGCAGAAGAUGGCGUCAGCGCUGUCAGAGAACCCAGCCUCUGUGAUUCACUCCCUAAACCUGGCUCAUAACACGCUCGACAACCAAGGCGUCUCCAACCUGAUUCAACAGGUGUGUCGCCUCAACAAGGGACUGCGCCUCCUCAAUCUUGCCAAGACCUCC